GGUGCAAUAGCUCAGUUGGUUGCAUUAAAAGUCGAGCCUUUAGGCGAGGCUUUUAAUGCCGAAGAAGAGCAAAGGACUGAAAAUCCUUGUGUCCCCGGUUCGAUUCCUGGUGGCACCA
rnacentral:tRNA from 1 species